rnacentral:rRNA from 1 species
UACGAAGGGGGCUAGCGUUGUUCGGAGUUACUGGACGUAAAGGGCGCGUAGGCGGCGCACCAAGUCAGGCGUGAAAGCCCUGGGCUCAACCCGGGAAUUGCGCUUGAGACUGGUGUGCUUGAGUACGGGAGAGGAUAGUGGAAUUCCCAGUGUAGAGGUGAAAUUCGUAGAUAUUGGGAAGAACACCGGUGGCGAAGGCGGCUAUCUGGACCGUAACUGACGCUGAGGCGCGAAAGCGUGGGGAGCAAACGGG